GAGAGGAGGGCAGGAGCAGGCAGGAACAGGGAGGAGAGAGUAGAAGCAGGCAGGAACAGGCAGGAACAGGGAGAAGAGAGCAGGAGCAGGCAGGAACAGGGAGAGGAGAGUAGAAGCAGGCAGGAACAGGCAGGAGCAGGCAGGAACAGGAAGAGAAGGGCAGGAGCAGGCAGAGGAGGGCAGGAGCAGGGAGAGGAGGGCAGGAACAGACAGAAGAGGGCAGGAGCAGGCAGGAACAGACAGAAGAGGGCAGGAGCAGGCAGAGGAGGGCAGGAACAGGCGGGCACUGCCCAUCGGUGGCCAGCCAGUGGGUGAGCCCGGCUGACUGUUGGGUUGGCAGAGGCCGGGCCCCAGGUGAGCAUCCCCCAGGCCCUGUCACCCCGCUCCCCUCACGGCCCACAGUGGUUUGCAGAACCCCAGGAGGGUUUUCUGAGCCAGCCCUGGUUCUGCUGCAUGCAGCCAUUCCUCCAGGCCCCAGGGAAAUGGGGGGGAUUUUAUCAAUCAUGAGGAAUUCUACAGAGGAAAUUCUAGUUUGUAGAUCUUUUAUAAACAUGAAACUCGAGCUUUGGAAAUUAUUUUUUUCUUUUAAUGAUUCCUUGAGAACUAGAGGCUGCCAGCAGCUGAGGCGCUGUCAGGGGAUGAGUGUCCCCUCCCUGUCACCCAGCCACGGGCACUGUCCUGGCCUGCUGGGGGUGAGGGCUGAGCCCGUGGCCUCGGGUCCUGCCCUGGGCUGGAGGAACCCAAACAAACCCAGAAAAACUGCAAAUUGUGCCAGAUCCAGGAGGGGUUCACGAGGGGCUCUGCAGCAGGCGAGGCCCAGGGGUCAGGGCUGGGGGCUGCUGGGGGCUCCCCAAGCCUGGCACACCCUGAGGACAUGGGCCAUCCUCUGCAGACCACAGCUGCAUCAGAGCUUGUGUGUUCCUGUGACUCCAAACCUGCUGCUGCAGCAUCUGUAUCACUUCAGUGGUCAAUGUUCUUCAUUUCCAUACCUUUGGCUCUGAGGGUGCCCCCGGGAUGUGCUGGGAGGACUCGGGGCUGAGGGGCACCGUGCAGGAGCAGCUGUGGGGCAGUCACACCUUUCUGUCUGGAGCUGCUGUGUCUGUGUUGGGGUGACACUGGUGCAUGGAGCAGGCACUGCUGGAUGCUGAGCAGAGCAGGCGGCUCCGAGGGGACCUGCAGGGAGGCUGGGACGUGGCACCAGGGGUGUGGCACCAGGGGUGUGGCACCAGAGAGGUGGCACCAGGGAUGUGGCACCAGGGAUGUGGCACCAGGGAUGUGGCACCAGGCAGCUUUGGAGGCAGUUUGGGAUUGAGAUCCACGCUCCAGGGUGAGCUGGGCCAGUGCCAGGUCCCCCUCUCAGGACUCAUACCUUGAGCAUCCCUGACCCUGUCCGCUCUGCUGCUUGCCACAGUUAUUGCAAGACUUCCAGAUGUCCUGUAUCUCCUGUGGGGGAAUGUACAGUGGGGUGUGCUGGCCCUGCACAGACACUCAGAUCUGUGUGGACUCCUCCAAGGAAGGGCAGAGUGACAGGGUUUGAGUCACUCUUUAUGUCAUUUGAUGAUUUAAUCCUCACAGUUGGAUGGGGAAGGCAGAGCUCUGGGAGGAUGCUCAGAGCCUCAGGAGAGCCCAGGUGCUCCUCAGGUGUGUGGAGACAGCCCAAGGAAUCCCUGCCUGGAGCUGCUGGGGAUGCAGGGAAGGGGCCUCAGCUCUGCAUUCAGUGGGGCUGGCAGGGGAGGGGGCCUCAGCUCUGCAUUCAGUGGGGCUGGCAGGGGUCCCCUGUGGCAUAGGGGCACCCAGAGCCCGGGGCAGGGCAGAGGAGGGGCUGAGUUGGCAGGACAUGCGAGGAUGGCACGUCCUGGCUUUGUCCCACGUGGAUUACACCCCAGUGCUACAGGUAAGUGGGCCCAGGCUCUCCCUGGGACAGGGUGGGUCAGCCAGCUGCCCCUGGGCUGUGCUGAGCCCUUGGCUGCUGCUCUGGGGCAGCUCCAGCUCCUGCCCUGCUCCCAGUGCAGCUCCACUGGUUCUGGCUGGGAGCUGCUGCUGCUGUGCCCUGUUGGGGCUCUGAGCAGCCCGCUCGUCAUGAGAGCAUGGCCAAAGCAGCUAUCGAUUGAUUAAUCCAUUUAACGAAUGAAUAAAUGGGGGUUUGUGCAGUGGCCGGCCCAGGCAGGCAGAGGGAGGUGAGUGCAGGGCAGUGCUGUGCUCCGGUGGUUGUGAGUCCCAGAGCUGUGACCCCGGGAGGAGCCCAGGGCAUUGGGGCACAGCACACGGAUGGGCUGUGCCAGAGGCUGGCAUGGCACCUGCAGGGUGCCCAGACCUGCUCCCACUGCCCUGGGGCAGGAGCAGCUGUGUGAGCACAGCCUCUGGCUCCAUGCAUGGGAGUGUCGCCUGAGCUCUUUAUUUCUGAUCACAUUCAAAGUGGCAGUUAAAACAAGGAGGGAAAAAAAAUUAAAAAAUAAUAAAAAAAAAGAGAAAAUGUUUAUUGUUGAUGAGUUUGUGUUUGUGAAUUUGAUUUCACCUGCAAGUAUUUGAUGACUUUUCUACAUCCUAGACUACCUGCUGUGUGUUGUCAAACGGUUCUCAUGAAGACCUCCUUUUAGAUGGGCAUAUACUCUUGAUUCAAUUUGCUGCAUGUAUGAAAAAAUAAAAUAUUUAAUUUUAAAGAAA